AGCGGCGGACGGGUGAGUAACGCGUGGGUAACCUGCCUCAUACAGGGGGAUAACAGUUAGAAAUGACUGCUAAUACCGCAUAAGACCACAGCACCGCAUGGUGCAGGGGUAAAAACUCCGGUGGUAUGAGAUGGACCCGCGUCUGAUUAGGUAGUUGGUGGGGUAACGGCCUACCAAGCCGACGAUCAGUAGCCGACUUGAGAGGGUGACCGGCCACAUUGGGACUGAGACACGGUCCAA
rnacentral:rRNA from 1 species